rnacentral:lncRNA from 1 species
AAAGUCGGAGGCGCACGCAGGUACAGUGAGCGCAGCUGUCUGUUGUGGCACGAGAAGGAACCGCCGGAAACCCGCUGAGGAAGAUGCAAAAAAAAAAAACAAAAAUGUGAAAAGGGGAAAAGGGGGGAGGGAAGAAGCUGUUUUUCUCAAUGCUUGGCUGCCCUCGCGAGCAGAGUAACGUUGUGAAAGAGGCAGGUGGAGGCCGUCAAAAUCUUCCUGUGUUCUGGGGAUGCUGAAGCACAGGGAAACGUCGCUGCAGGACAUGGAGCUUAGUGUGUGUUGUUUUCGGGAGCGUGUGCGCCUGUCGGCAGACUGAGCAGCUUGCUGCGCUGAUAAAGCUCGUUUUGGCUCUGGAGUGGGGGAAACUGAGCCCUGGGAGCAGGUCGGCUUGCCAAAGCCGCACGGUAACACGGUUAGAAAGAAGAUUAAACAGGAACAGAUUCCCCCUGCCCUGCCCGCUUCACGCACGUACGCGAAGACUGUACCUGCGCCAAGGUCUGGAGAUGCUCCUGAAACUCAUGAGGCAGGCAGCCUGGCUAAUAUCGGCCAACUUCUUAUGUAGAAAGCUAACAGUACGGCCAGGAAGAUGCCCUUCUCCUGUGAAGUCAUAUGGAAGAAAGAAGGAAGCAGAGGUGGCCACAGAGGCAUGCUUACUGGAACAGAAAAACUUCAAAGCUGCUGAGUCCUAGAAAGGUUAACAGCUGCCCUAUGGAAAUGCAUCUUCACAUAAUGUGGAAUUAGUCUGUGGAGCUCACUGCCUCUAGAUUGCUGUGGGACCAAAACUCAGCAAGAGACAGAGAGAAGAAACCAUCUUUUGCUAACUGAGGUAACCAGGUUCAUAGUAGUUUGUGCUAAGCGUGUAUUUUGAAAAAGAUACAACAACUGAUGGAAUCAUGAUGAAGUCCAAAUGCAAGUAUGGGGAAUAGAUUAUUCUUGAUCUAUAAUAUCCUGUAUCUUUCUCUGAGAUCAUAGAAUUGUAGAAUCAUGGAAUCAUAAAUGGCUUAAUCAGAGAACUAAUGGGCUUGUUGAUGGACUCUUACCUUUUGUCUUUUGGGAUAGCUUACCUAGCAGCACAAUGCAACUUCUGGACAGAUAAUGGUUGAGUGGAGAGACAGGCAUUAGCUGUGAAGCAUUUUGCUUUGUUAAUU